rnacentral:rRNA from 1 species
CGGCGAACGGGUGAGUAACGCGUAGGAAUCUGCCUGGUAGAGGGGGAUAGCUCGGGGAAACUCGAAUUAAUACCGCAUACGCCCUACGGGGGAAAGCAGGGGAUCUUCGGACCUUGCACUAUCAGAUGAGCCUGCGUCGGAUUAGCUAGUUGGUGGGGUAAAGGCCCACCAAGGCGACGAUCCGUAACUGGUCUGAGAGGAUGAUCAGCCACACUGGGACUGAGACACGGCCCAG